rnacentral:rRNA from 1 species
AUGAACGGGCUCAUAGUAGGUGGUAACUGGAGGAUUCAGUACUGUGCGGAUGCCCUGACAGCAGAGGCGGUAGCACUCAGAUUUGGUUUACUGUUGGCACAAAAGACGGGCUGCAAUCGUCUAAUUAUCAGUUCUGAUAAUAUAGAGGUCAUCGACACAAUGAAGAACGGAGGACAGUCCGCGGGACCGGCUGCUUUUUGAGGAUUGCUUUUUAUGGCCUGUGAUUUUCCUCAAACCAGUUUUGAACAUUGUAACAGGAAAGUGAAUAAAGUAGCUCAUGAGCUUGUUAGAUUAGCAAAAAGUUCCAUGACUAAGGAUUGGAUAGAGGAGCCCAUGGAAGAUAUUGUAACUCUCUUGAUAGACGAUGUAACAAUUAUUUUUAAUUAA